ensembl:lncRNA
UCCUUAGUGGCCAACCCCGUGCAACGAUAGUCACCAUGAUGUCACCUGCUCGUUUUUAAUUUAAAGUGAAGUUAAGCCGGUCAGUCAGUAAAGCUGGCUUGGGAUCUUGUGAGUGCAUGAGGGUGUAGGAACUUACUGUAUCCGUGUGUCAGUGAAUGGGAGACAGAGAAGAGAGAGGGAUAGAGGUCCAAAGAGAGAGAGAGAGAAGUAAAAUAACAGAAGAAAGACAGAAACAAAAUCCAGAAGAGCAUCAGACUUGGGUUCAGUUUUCGGGGGAUGUUCCUGAUUGAUUAGAUUUGAAGGUUUGGACUAUCUUCUGAACUCAGUACAACCAUUUCCAGGACUCUCCGUUGGAAAUGGUAACCCGGUUACCCUCUCCCCACAGUGUGAAUGUGAUGACUGCUCCAGUGGAUUCAGCAGAUCCAGUGCAGAGGAGAGGGAGCAGAGUCUACCAGAUCUUCCCCUGCACCCUGACUCCCAUGGCCACAGAGUCAGAGUCGUUUGCAGAGGACCCUAUUCACCGCAGGGGGCGGCUGCCUUCCAUCGUGGUGCAGACUGACGAGGCAAGCGAGAUGGGGGAGCGGCGCUGCUCCCAGGGAGUGGAGGAGAGCGACCUCUUCAAUGAGCAGAGCCUCCCCCAGACAGAAAGCUGCAUCAGUGGGGACAACCAGGAUGAUAUGGUGGUGCUACAGGGAAGACGAAAGAGUUCUAUUACGGCUCAAUCCCUCAACGUCGCCCUUUUGACUCCUCCCCAUUCGCCCCUCCGUGAGACUGCCCCGCCCAAGCCUGAGGAGAUGAGCCAAUAGGAGUGGAGCACAGUGACGAAACUACAGAACUCUUUCUGACAUCACCAUCGGAACUCUCUCUGACAUCAUCCGGACAUACAGCCUGUGGAUUUUUACCUCUCCGAUAUCUUAUGUGACAUAAGAUGGCAUAUUUCAAGAUAGACGGAAAGGUUUUUUCUCAUUUAAUGGAUUUUUAUUAUUGUUUACUGUUAAAAUAAAGAUUUAAAAUGCCAUAUGAUAUUAAUUGAAACGUUAGGGCCUCCCCUCUUGGGAAACUAGUAAAAAUGUGUACAUAAAACACAAAUACAAAAAGAUAUUAGCUACCUGUAGUUUUCAGACUGUGUUCAAGAGACAAAUCUGUUGCUAUGUGACAACAUGGAAACAAGCAACUGGCUAGGGCUGCCUCCCUAAUGGCAUCGUAUUCCCUAUAUAGUGCACUAUUGACCAGAGCCCUAUGCCCCGUGGUCAAAAGGAAUGCACUAUAUAGGGAAUAGGGUGCAAUUUGAGAUGCAACCUAGGUCUGACAGAUGCUACAGUGCAGUGGGCUACAGUGCAGUGGUUUCGCCUGCGCCAAGUAAUAACGUUCGAUAAAAGACUAUGGUGUCCUCUAUCGCCGUCAUGGAGGUCACAACAUUAUUCGCUACCUGAAACAAAUAAGCCCAUUACACACUGAAGUUGUACAGUACCAGUCAAUAGUUUGGACACACCUACUCAUUCAAGGGUUUUUCAUUUCUUUUUUUACUAUUUUCUAUAUUGUAGAAUAAUAAUGAAGACAUCAAAACUGUGAAAUCACACAUGGAAUCAUGUAGUAACCAAAAAAGUGUUAAACACUGACAGCUUUACACACUCUUGGCAUUCUCUCAACCAGCUUCACCUGGAAUCCUCAAAGGAGUUCCCACAUUAGGCUGAUCACUUGUUGGAUGCUUUUCCAUCACUCUGCGGUCCAACUCAUCCCAAGCCAUCUCAACUGGGUUGAGGUCAAGUGAUUGUGGAGGCCAGGUCAUCUGACGCAGCACUCCAUCACUCUCCUUCUUGGUCAAAUAGCCCUUGAAAAACAAAUGAUAGUGCCACUAAGCACAAACCAGAUGGGAUGGUGUAUCACUGCAGAAUGCUGUGGUAGCCAUGCUGGUUAAGUUUGCCUUGAAUUCUAAGUAAUGGAGUAGGAGCAACCAGCAAAGCACACCCACACAUCACACCUCCUACUCCAUGCUUCACGGUAGGAACCACACAUCAGGAGAUCAUGAUAAAUUCUUCCAUGAAGGCCUGAUUCACACAGUCUCCUCUGAACAGUUGAUGUUGAGAUGUGUCUGUUACUUGAACUCUGAAGCAUUUAUUUGGGCUUCAAUUUCUGAGGUUGGUAACUCUAAUGAACUUGUCCUCUGCGUCAGAGGUAACUCUAGGUCUUCCUUUCCUGUGGUGGUCCUCAUGAGAGCCAGUUUCAUCAUAGCGCUUGAUGGUUUUUGCGACUGCUCUUGAAGAAACUUUCAAAGUUCUUGAAAUUUUGACUGACCUUCAUGUCUUAAAGUAAUGCUGGACUGGCAUUUCUCUUUGCUUAUUUGAGCUGUUCUUGCCAUAAUAUGGACUUGGUCUUUCACCAACUAGAGUUAUCUGUUGUAUACCCCCCUGCCUUGUAAGAACACAACUGAUUGGCUGUUUGAGCAUUAAGAAGGAAAGAAAUUCCACAAAUUAACUUUUAACAAGGCACAUCUGUUAAUUGAAAUGCAUUCCAGGUGACUACCUCAUGAAUCUGGUUGAGAGAAUGCCAAGAUUGUGCAAGCUGAUGUCAAGGCAAAGGGUGGCUACUUUGAAGAAUCUCAAAUAUAAAAUAUAUUUAGAUGUGUUUAACACUUUUUUGGUUACUACAUGAUUCCAUAUGUGUUAUUUCAUAGUUUUGAUGUCUUCACUAUUAUUCUGCAAUGUAGAACAUUGUAAAAUGAAGAAACACUUUUGACUGGUACUGUACAACUGAUGUACAGCACAUUUGGCACAAUGGUUGUAAUAGACUCUUUAUUUUUGUGAUCAAACUGAGAAUUUGUGUGCACAUAUUUUUUUACACAACCAUUGUGUGGUGUCUCCACAACAGUUGUGUAACACUUUUGUCAAAUUGGUUGUACAUCAGUUCUACAAGCUGCUUGUGUCAUGACCCCUGCAUAGUUACUCCUGCAUCUCCCUGUUGAUAAUCUUGUAGAGACACGUUUGGAUUUUAUUGAGACGCAAGCAGCUGCACAGUAGAAUUAAAAGGUAGAAAUCACUUGUUUUGAAAAGAGGCUGAGAAAUAAUUGAAUGACGCUACAUAGUAUUGUGUAGGACUACUAUACUAUUUUGAUAUCUUUUUUUAUUACCAUACUACAAGUACGUUUUUGUGAGCACGUGCCACUGAUUGGGACAUUCAAAUGAGGAUGUUGCACUUCUCUCUAGCACAAAAAAGGAAAAUAAAUGAAUACAUGAACAUAGCUCAUCAUGAAUAUUCACCAGAUCAUUUUUAUUCAUCACGAAUGCAUGCAACUUCUAAUUGUGGCAACACAGAUGUGUUUGUACAUUAUCUCCUUGGGUUGAAAUUCCUUUAAGGAUUAUUGAAUAUUUUGCACGCCAGGCACCAUCAAAUAGUAUACGUUGGAGCAAACCCAAAUGGCCCAUAUUGAGUAAAACUCUGCAUUUAUGUGUAAUAUUUCAUCAAAGAUAUUAGUAAACACCUCCUUAUCAAAUACUGGUCUGGCAUAGUCUUUCCCUAUGUGAAACAAGAGCACUGAAUCUCAAGAAACCCAGCAUUUCUGUGAAUCCAUCCAAUUACAGUGCAUUGGGAAAGUAUUCAGACACCAUGAAUUUUACCACAUUUUGUUACGUUACAGCCUUAUUCUACAAAUUGAUUAACAUUUUAGUUUUAGUUGUUUUCAUCAAUCUACACACAAUACCU